CCUACGGGGGGCAGCAGUGGGGAAUAUUGCGCAAUGGGCGAAAGCCUGACGCAGCGACGCCGCGUGCAGGAAGAAGGCUCUCGGGUUGUAAACUUCUUUUGACAGGGAAAAGCCGAAGACGGUACAUGUGGAAUAAGCCAUGGCUAACUACGUGCCAGCAGCCGCGGUAAUACGUAGGUGGCAAGCGUUGUCCGGAUUUACUGGGUGGAAAGGGCGUGUAGCCGGGCUGACAAGUCAGAUGUGAAAUCCGGGGGCUCAACCCCCGAACUGCAUUUGAAACUGGUGGUCUUGAGUAUCGGAGAGGCAGGCGGAAUUCCUAGUGUAGCGGUGAAAUGCGUAGAUAUUAGGAGGAACACCAGUGGCGAAGGCGGCCUGCUGGACGACAACUGACGGUGAGGCGCGAAAGCGUGGGGAGCAAACAGGAUUAGAUACCCUGGUAGUC
rnacentral:rRNA from 1 species